rnacentral:rRNA from 1 species
GACGAACGCUGGCGGCGUGCUUAACACAUGCAAGUCGAACGGGAGUAUUGAAGAAGCUUGCUUUAGAGAUACUUUAGUGGCGGACGGGUGAGUAACGCGUGAGGAGCUGUCCUAUGCAGGGGGACAACAGUUGGAAACGACUGCUAAUACCCCAUAAGCCGAGAGGUAAAAGGAAUUAUCCGGCAGAGGAGGUACUCGCGUCCUAUCAGCUAGUAGGUGAGGUAACGGCUCACCUAGGCGAAGACGGGUAGCCGGCCUGAGAGGGCGAACGGCCACACUGGAACUGAGAUACGGUCCAGACUCCUACGGGAGGCAGCAGUGGGGAAUAUUGGGCAAUGGGGGCAACCCUGACCCAGCGACGCCGCGUGGGUGAAGAAAUCCCUCGGGAUGUAAAGCCCUGUUGUAUGGGAAGAGCAGAAGACGGUACCAUACGAGGAAGCCCCGACAAACUACGUGCCAGCCGCCGCCGUAAAAC